AUUGAACGCUGGCGGCAUGCCUUACACAUGCAAGUCGAACGGUAACAGGUCUUCGGAUGCUGACGAGUGGCGAACGGGUGAGUAAUACAUCGGAACGUGCCUAGUAGUGGGGGAUAACUACUCGAAAGAGUGGCUAAUACCGCAUGAGAUCUACGGAUGAAAGCAGGGGAUCGCAAGACCUUGUGCUACUAGAGCGGCCGAUGGCAGAUUAGGUAGUUGGUGGGAUAAAAGCUUACCAAGCCGACGAUCUGUAGCUGGUCUGAGAGGACGAUCAGCCACACUGGGACUGAGACACGGCCCAGACUCCUACGGGAGGCAGCAGUGGGGAAUUUUGGACAAUGGGCGAAAGCCUGAUCCAGCAAUGCCGCGUGCAGGAUGAAGGCCUUCGGGUUGUAAACUGCUUUUGUACGGAACGAAAAGCCCCGGGUUAAUACCCUGGGGUCAUGACGGUACCGUAAGAAUAAGCACCGGCUAACUACGUGCCAGCCGCCGCCGUAAAAC
rnacentral:rRNA from 1 species